GUAGGGAAUAUUGGGCAAUGGAUGCAAGUCUGACCCAGCCAUGCCGCGUGGAGGAAGAAGGUCCUCUGGAUUGUAAACUCCUUUUUUGGGGGAAGAAUAGUUCUCUUGCGAGGGAAUGUGACGGUACCCUAAGAAUAAGCCACGGCUAACUACGUGCCAGCAGCCGCGGUAAUACGUAGGUGGCAAGCGUUGUCCGGAGUUAUUGGGUUUAAAGGGUGCGUAGGUGGUUUGAUAAGUCAGUGGUGAAAGCUGGUUGCUCAACAAGCAAGUUGCCAUUGAUACUGUCGGACUUGAGAGAAGUGGAGGUUCAUGGAAUGGAUGGUGUAGCGGUGAAAUGCAUAGAUAUCAUCCAGAACGUCGAUUGCGAAGGCAGUGGGCUGUACUUUAUCUGACACUGAGGCACGAAAGUGUGGGGAUCAAACAGGAUUAGAAACCCUAGUAGUCC
rnacentral:rRNA from 1 species